GGAUUAAUGACAACAAACGGCCGUCUCACAACCGCGUUCGUUUGGACCAUGGUAAAACAAGAAGGGGAUAUCUCGUCGGGUCCAUAAGUCCGUUAACAAAAUUUUCAAUGAGAAGUUGCCUAACGGACAACGUUUUCCUAAUCUGU